GGUCAGGCUGAAGACUUACCCGAUUAGCUGAGAGGUGGUGCAUGGCCGUCGUCAGUUCGUACUGUGAAGCAUCCUGUUAAGUCAGGCAACGAGCGAGACCCACGUCCACAGUUGCCAGCAUACCCUCCGGGGUGAUGGGUACACUGUGGAGACCGCCGCCUGCUAAAGCGGAGGAAGGAGUGGGCAACGGUAGGUCAGUAUGCCCCGAAUCUCCCGGGCUACACGCGGGCUACAAUGGUUGGUACAAUGGGCAUCUACCCCGAAAGGGGAAGGAAAUCUCUUAAAGCCAAUCGUAGUUCGGAUUGAGGGCUGCAACUCGCCCUCAUGAAGCUGGAAUCCGUAGUAAUCGCGUUUCAACAGAACGCGGUGAAUACGUCCCUGCUCCUU
rnacentral:rRNA from 1 species